GGCAAAAUAAUAAAUGAAAGAAUCCAAUUAUUCUUAAUCGCAUAUAACAUGUAUUCUGUUGCAUAAUUUAUGUUCCAAAUCAAAGUUACAAGUUAUUGACGUUUUUCAUCAUAAACAUCACUAAAGAAAAGUCUCCAGCUUAAGGUCAGUAUAGUACCCACUAGAUGUCAUCAAAUCUUCAAUGGUUGGGGUGUUUUAUUAUCCUUUGCAGAAUAAUAGUCCGAGCCAUCCGAAUAUCUUGGCUAGAAACAUCAGCUUGAACACCUAAAUCCUCGGUAUUCUUCAUAAGCACGUCUAAUUUUUUCUUGAUCUCUUCCACUGCAAAUUUUACAGAUUCUUCAUUGAUUGCAAAGUCCACAGUUUUCAAUAGCCAUUCAACCUCGAUUUCCAAACGAUCAAUUAGAAUCCUAAUGCUGUCCAAAUCCUUAAUAGUUAUAUAAGUGCCCACAUUCAUAAGGAUAAGGAUAUUCUUUUGUGCUUUGACUGCAUCUUCAUAAUUCUUCAUAAGGGAAUCAAUCCACUUUCCCAUUGAUCCUAAUGGAAUGGAACUUGCAGCGGCAAGAGCAGCUGUCACAGGUGGUGCAGCCACGGUGGCAGCCACUACCGAGCAAAUUAGAACAGCAGCGAAUGUAGCUGCAAAUAUAAUGGUCGACACCUUUUUCCAAGCAUGGAUAGAUUUCAGCUUCCUAUGAAGCUUGCCCUCUUGCAUUUGCAACUUCUCCAACAUGUGCAUUUGCUGCCUGUAAACAGAUUGAAAAAUUUGCAAAAAUUCUUCUGUGAAAGGGUCGCCAGCAUUCUUGAAAUUCUUCAGCUCCUCCAAUGUCUUAGUGUACCUAUUGUUCCCUUCCACCUUGUCUUCUUCUUCAAAUUGUUGAAGUGCCACAAGAAUAAGCAAUUGACUAUCACGAGCGCGCUUUAAGCACUUCUCCAAUGCAGUACAGAAGUCUAGAGUCUUGAGGCUAUUCUCAAAGUACUCCUUGACUAGCUCGAAUAAUUCUUGAUUCUUCAAUAUGUCUUUCUUGCAAUGCAAGAUAACUUUAACAACCUCCUGAUUCAUCUCCAACAGACAUUCUGUGACUUCCUUCAAGGAAUCAAACGACAGGGCUUUAACCUCAACCCCAACAGCAAGAGCAUUGAUAACUUUGUUAGUUCGCGCUUCAAGAGUUCUAUCAAAGGAUUUUAAAUCUAUGUCGACCCUGCACGUGGCUUCAUAAGAUUUCAGAUCGUUGAUUGCACUAGUAGUUUCCUGAGGCUUCUUGCUCAUAUGGCUUCCCAUGGUCCCAAACCUGAUUUAUAUACACAAACCAAACAAAAUUUAGAAACCCAACAUUAAUUUUCUAUGUUAAAGUUUGCAUUGCAUAAAUUACAUAUAAAACAAAAGAAUAAAGCAUCAAUCAAUCAAGCUCUGAACAAAAAUUUAGAAACCCAGCUUCAAUUUUCUUUGUGUAAGGCUGCAUUACAUAAUUAUAGAUGAAAUACAAAAAUCCCUCAAGUUAUUCCAUCAAUCUUCUGAUCUUAAAAGUGUAGUAAUCAAGUUCCUCAACAAAAUUGAGAAAUCCUACAUUAAAUUUAUAAGAUCGCAUUACAUAAAUUACAGAUGAAAUUAAUACAAACACAAAUCAAUUUUUUUUUAUAUCAAAUGGAAGAUAAGGGACCUCCUUUGCAAAAGCUCGACUAACUUGGCCAUUUUUUGACCUUUUUUUUUUUUUUUUCAUUUUCCUUGCACAAGGAAAGAUGAGGAAACGGUAUAGAGAGGCAGAAAACCGGGGGAAAAAAAAGGAAGAAAGAAAGAAGAGGAAAAAAAGGAAAAAAAAAAGGUAAGUUUGACUAUUCAAAUUUCAUUAUUCAAUUUGCUUAAUUUCUUCAAGGGAUAUAGUAUAAUUUAUACUUAAUCUUUAGGGUUUUCAUUUGUUGGUGUAAAUUUCAGAUUAAGAGAAAUGAGCACCAUUGUUAAUUGAAGUUCCCUGAUUGGUUACUUUCCAUUUACAUUAAGGUAAGAUAUCAUUUUUGGGCAAACCCUAGAAUUUUUAAUUGGGUUCUUGAGUAAAUAUAGUUUAGAGAAAUGAUAAUAUUGAUGAAAUAUUCACUUUAAAGAAUGAUUUUAUGGAAUAAGUAGGCAUGUCAACGAGUCGAGACAAGUCGACUCGCGAGCAAAAACUCGAGACUCGAGCUCAACUCGAGUAAGAUGGUGCUAGCUUUAUUGGGCUCAAGAUCUGAAAAUCUAGGCUCGGCUAGAGCUUUUACUUCAUGACAAUUCUAACAUUUUUUAAAAAUUUUAAAAAUUGUGCAAUUUUUAUGAAUUAUAAAUUAAAUAAUUUAUUACAAUUCUUCUCCUUUUUUGAGCUUGGGACCAGCUACAAUCAACAUAAGCGGAGUUAAAAUUGUACACAAAUAAAAUAUUCAGUGUACAAUUUUUUCUUGAACAAAUAAAUUUAAAAACUUACGCAUUUCUUUUAAAUUAAUCAAAAUUACAUUUCUUUAUAGCUGUCUGUUAAGCUACCUUAACAAGCAGCUUUAUGUAUCUAGUUACAGGUUUAGGCAACCAACAAAUCUGUUGCCUUAACAAGUAGCUACAAGUUUUAAAUUUACAUGUAUAUAAUUUUUUUGCAAGCACUUAUUUUUUAUAUUUUAUUAUUUUUUUGCCGGCUCGAGCCGAUGCCCUGAAAUGGGGCUAGCCCGAGACUUGGUUCGGUGCCUCCAAGCCAUGAGCUAAGCUGACUCGGGCUUUCCCAAGUUGAGCCACAGGCCGUCCAAGCCGGCAAGCCAAAUUUAUAUCCCUAGGAAUAAAAUGUAAAAUAAAUUGAUGCAAGUGUGAUUUCAAGAUUUUACUAGAUUGGAGAUGAGAUAAUUAUUUUUAUACUUGGAGUGAAGGUUAUUUUGAUGAAUUAGCUAUUAAUAAAGGGAUUAGAAAGUGGAAUUUGCUUCAAGUGAUUUUAGGAGAUUGAAGAAAUUAAGCCCUUGUUUGACACUCUUUAAAAUUUUAAUACAUUUUUCUUCCUCUUCUCUUCAACCACACAUUCUUCAAUAAAAUAAUAUUAUACGUAAAUCAAAAAAAAAUUCUUCUUUUUUAAUCACACAUUCUUUCAAAAAGUACUAUUCCAUAAUAAAUUUUACCAAACUUUCUCUUUACAAUGGGGCUCAAACAAGGGCCAAGUUUUAGUAUUCGAUUAUUAAUAUUCAUAGCUACUUAGUAUAAUAGUGGUUAAAUUGAUUAUUUUACAUCGUAUUUCAGGUGGUGAAGAAGAUAUUUGAAAAGCUUAUUUGUCAUCCUACCCUAUAACUUGUAUUGAGUAAGUGAAUAUCUACUUCUUAGAAAUAAACACUUAUUUUAGUUUUCAACUUUAUAUCAAAUAAUUGUUUAUUAUAUUUCUUAUAGUAAAUCAUAUAAGCUGUAAAAGUUAUUUAUUUCAAAUGAUUGAUUUAAAAAGUAUGAUUUUUAGAAUAAAGUUAUUUUUAAUAUAAGAGAUUAUUCUGAAAGUUAAAUUCAGCUAAGUUAAACCUUUUCAUUGGCCCAUUAUAUCAGUAUUAAAUAUUUUAGUAUAACUAAAGUUACUUUUAAAACUAUCAGAAAGCACCCAAGUGAUUUUACACUUGUUUGCACUUGUGUGAAUAUAUUUCCACAAUAUAUAACCCUAUAUGGUUAUUUUACCCGCUCUGAACUAGUGUGAAUAUGUUUCCCAAUGUAUGAUUAGCUAUGGUGAUUUUAUCUACUCUGCACGGUGCGAAUGUGUUUUCAUAGUAUCUGACUAGAUUAUAGCCUUUGGGGAGCUAUGCAUGUUUAUGAUUGGAAUUAUAAAUUUCAGAUUCUCAGAAUUUCAAAAUUUAAUAGUUUUGCCAUGUAUAUCGGUAUUAAUUGAUACAUGAGUAAGGUUAUUCCGUGUACCUUUUUAGUGUGAAUUUUUAAUAUUACUACAGUUUAUUAGAUUACAAAUUAUAUAAUUCAGUUUAUUCAGUUCACAGAAUAAAGAUUUUAGCUUAUAAUAUUGAGUAACGAUAGUGUUUCAUAGAUUUUCAUGGAUAUCAUAUUAUUUGUAUUCGUUAUACUUUAUAGUUGUUUAUUUAGAAUAAAGAACAAAUGAUUUUAUGAUUCAAUCAUGUUUCAAUUUUAAAAGUUAUUACCAAAUUUCAGAAUUUCUUUAAAAUUGUAAUAGAGUAAGUAAAGGUUUAUAAUAAUUAUGUACAAAUAGAAAAUGUAUACGGAAUUACGAAUUAUCCACUCAGUGAGUUACAAAAUCAUAUAUUUUGUCACUCAUUUUCUUAUCAGAUGGUAGUUGAGUUGAGCAGCGUUGAAACCUGUUGAGCAACACAUUAUCAUUAGUUGUAUGACUCAAUUUCUUAGUUUAUAUAGUUCAUGUUUCUUUUGGAAUACAUGCACCUUUGGUCUGAAAAAUUUCUUUGUAAUUCAUGUAUCCAUAUCAUGGGCUCGUUGUAUAUUUAGUAUUUUUAAAACAUUUGGGGACUUUUAUUUGUAAAUAAUAUUAAAGGUUGAUUUACCAUAUUUUAUUUUGAAUAAUUUGUGUUUUGAGGAGCUUGUGUAACCUAUUUUAAAUUAUGGGUAAAAUUGAUUAUUGUUUAGGUGGUUUUAGUCAAUGUUGCAAUGGAAACUUUGUCAACAUUUUUUAAAAAAAAAAAUGUCAUAGUCAAAGUAGGUUAAAGUUGUCUUGGUGGUGGGUCUGGAACUAAACUGAUAUUUACCAUAGACACACGUCAUGUGUCGAGUUCAUUAGGUAAAUUGGGAACGGGUCGUGUCAUAGAUGCUAUCAGAUUUCUAUUCAAAAGGUCAUUUCCCUCUCGAAGGAAUAGAAAGGGACCUGUCUACCAUGAAGUGUGUAGCGAACAACGCUUAUGUUAUGAUUUUGACUGGAAAAUGUACAUUUCUCACCUUUUUCUCAUCUAUCUUAGUUCAAAAUCUACGCGUUUCUAGUCUGUGCAUAUAUGGCUUCAGCCACAAAUUUUCAUAUUCGACCAUCACCCAUUUUGUCUUUGUGAAUGAUGGGUCCCUUCUAACAGUGAAAACGAUUGACCAAAAUUUUCGUGUCGUAGUGUAAUGUACUAUUUCUAGACCCUAACUUCGCUCUGCUGUUUUGACUAUAGCUUUAGCAAGUACUCUGUAUUACAUAUACUAGAUUUCUAAGCAAAAAUGCAAAUGGCAUUUGCAAGAAAUUUAUGAAAAGGCAAAAUAAUAAAUGAAAGAAUCCAAUUAUUCUUAAUCGCAUAUAACAUGUAUUCUGUUGCAUAAUUUAUGUUCCAAAUCAAAGUUACAAGUUAUUGACGUUUUUCAUCAUAAACAUCACUAAAGAAAAGUCUCCAGCUUAAGGUCAGUAUAGUACCCACUAGAUGUCAUCAAAUCUUCAAUGGUUGGGGUGUUUUAUUAUCCUUUGCAGAAUAAUAGUCCGAGCCAUCCGAAUAUCUUGGCUAGAAACAUCAGCUUGAACACCUAAAUCCUCGGUAUUCUUCAUAAGCACG
rnacentral:lncRNA from 1 species